rnacentral:rRNA from 1 species
UUAAAGUCAUCCUCAGUUCGGACUGGGGUCUGCAACCCGACCCCACGAAGCUGGAUUCGCUAGUAAUCGCGCAUCAGCCAUAGGCGCGGUGAAUACGUUCCCGGGCCUUGUACACACCGCCCGUCAAGCCAUGAAAGCCGGGGGGCGCCUGAAGUCCGUGACCGCGAGGGUCGGCCUAGGGUGAAACCGGUGAUUGGGGCUAAGUCGUAACAAGGUAGC